rnacentral:rRNA from 1 species
GAUGAACGCCGGCGGUGUGCCUAAUACAUGCAAGUCGAACGCGUUGGCCCAAUUGAUUGACGGUGCUUGCACCUGAUCGAUUUUGGUCGCCAACGAGUGGCGGACGGGUGAGUAACACGUAGGUAACCUGCCCAGAAGCGGGGGACAACAUUUGGAAACAGAUGCUAAUACCGCAUAACAGCGUUGUUCGCAUGAACAACGCUUAAAAGAUGGCUUCUCGCUAUCACUUCUGGAUGGACCUGCGGUGCAUUAGCUUGUUGGUGGGGUAACGGCCUACCAAGGCGAUGAUGCAUAGCCGAGUUGAGAGACUGAUCGGCCACAAUGGGACUGAGACACGGCCCAUACUCCUACGGGAGGCAGCAGUAGGGAAUCUUCCACAAUGGGCGCAAGCCUGAUGGAGCAACACCGCGUGAGUGAAGAAGGGUUUCGGCUCGUAAAGCUCUGUUGUUAAAGAAGAACACGUAUGAGAGUAACUGUUCAUACGUUGACGGUAUUUAACCAGAAAGUCACGGCUAACUACGUGCCAGCAGCCGCGGUAAUACGUAGGUGGCAAGCGUUAUCCGGAUUUAUUGGGCGUAAAGAGAGUGCAGGCGGUUUUCUAAGUCUGAUGUGAAAGCCUUCGGCUUAACCGGAGAAGUGCAUCGGAAACUGGAUAACUUGAGUGCAGAAGAGGGUAGUGGAACUCCAUGUGUAGCGGUGGAAUGCGUAGAUAUAUGGAAGAACACCAGUGGCGAAGGCGGCUACCUGGUCUGCAACUGACGCUGAGACUCGAAAGCAUGGGUAGCGAACAGG